GAUGAACGCUGGCGGCGUGCCUAAUACAUGCAAGUCGAGCGAACAGACGAGGAGCUUGCUCCUCUGACGUUAGCGGCGGACGGGUGAGUAACACGUGGAUAACCUACCUAUAAGACUGGGAUAACUUCGGGAAACCGGAGCUAAUACCGGAUAAUAUAUUGAACCGCAUGGUUCAAUAGUGAAAGACGGUUUUGCUGUCACUUAUAGAUGGAUCUGCGCCGCAUUAGCUAGUUGGUAAGGUAACGGCUUACCAAGGCAACGAUGCGUAGCCGACCUGAGAGGGGGAUCGGCCACACGGGAACGGAGACACGGUCCAGACUCCUACGGGAGGCAGCAGUAGGGAAUCUUCCGAAAUGGGCGAAAGCCUGACGGAGCAACGCCGCGUGAGUAAUGAAGUUCUUCGGAUCGUAAAACUCUGUUAUUAGGGAAGAACAAAUGUGUAAGUAACGAUGCACGUCUUGACGGUACCAAAUCAGAAAGCCACGGCUAACUACGU
rnacentral:rRNA from 1 species